UUUUAUGGAGAGUUUGAUCCUGGCUCAGGAUGAACGCUGGCGGCGUGCCUAAUACAUGCAAGUCGAGCGAACGGACGAGAAGCUUGCUUCUCUGAUGUUAGCGGCGGACGGGUGAGUAACACGUGGAUAACCUACCUAUAAGACUGGGAUAACUUCGGGAAACCGGAGCUAAUACCGGAUAAUAUUUUGAACCGCAUGGUUCAAAAGGGAGAGAAGGGCUAGCCGCAACUUUUAGACUGAUCCGC
rnacentral:rRNA from 1 species